CCCUGUGAGGUCCGGCUUUCUUUAUAUUACUGAUGUUGAAGCUGGGGCACCAGGGCUUAAUGUGCCCGAAGCCCUGCAGCUUCGCCUCCCUCUGUGCUGGUGCUGGGUGGGUCCGAGGUGUCCACAGUCCCCUCUUCCUGGGCUCUGAAACAUGGAGGAUGUGCCGGCAGUAGGGGCUGUUCUACAUAUCCUGGGACUGAGUUAAUCGGGUGGCCUCAAGCUGUUUUAAUCUUGAUGUCUGGGCCUUGGGAAGAGAGGGUGACUGUCAGCUAGAGAUGCAUAUCUGGUAGCCCACAGCAUGACAAGUCUGCUGACCUAGGCCCAGCAGGGGCGGUGUAGCUGUCACACAUUAUUCUGGAAUAUUCACCAGUCUUUUUUUGAGUAAAAGUUUUGGGUGUGUGGAUGCACUGCCUUGGAACUCCUAACUUACAUCAGUGUGUCUGAUGACACCACCACGGUGGGUCCCCAGGCAAUGAAUAGGUGUUGGAGCCCCUCGACGCUGUGACAGGCCACAUGCCCCUUAAUUCCACCCCACCUGCCAUUACUAUUAGUCGCAAGUGCCCGUCACUUUCAAAUCUUCUGAAAUGCUGAGGAAUCUACUUAGCUCGGAAUUGAUGUCAGUGUGAGAGGGCUGGAGGGUUCCAGGCCGCGUUUGACACUCGGCGAGGCAUGCUGUGACUGUCACUGACACUGCCUUCCAGAGCUCUCCACCCGGAGGAGCUUGGGUUCAGGUGCACACACCUGGCUGGCCCUUCAUCCCUUCUUCUCAAAGACCUCAUUUUGGUUAAAAGAAUGAUUGCCAGAGUCAUCCUGGGGCGGUAUCAGCCAUUUCGAUCAGCUUCUUCACAUCACCCCUGCCCAUUGCCACCCAGUUUGUUCCAAUCCCUGCUUUGCUUCUGACCUCUUCUUCCCCACCCCUUUCUUCCUGCAGACACAGAUCGGGCAAACAGCCCCAGGGCCUACUGAUUUUUGUUAUGCCCAAGGACACCGCUGAACCACCACGAGGCAGCCCUGGUUCCAUGAAGAUGGGGAUGAGGAUGGUGACGCUGAGAAGUCUCCCUGGCACAGAAUAGCAUGCUUAGAUGAGCUCAAGCUCAGAGCGUUCCAGACCCAGCCUCAGUGUUUUUAACCACGGACAUCCUCCCAGGCAGACCAGAUGCCCUCUACGCGUAAUAUUCAGGUUUGUGCUCAGAAAAACGAUCGCAUUAUGCACACCCUUCAGGGUUUUGCUUUUUUCGUUUGAAAUACCUUUGCAAAUCUUUGUCAGCAGGGGCAGGCUGGCAGGCCCGUCGGUGGUGCCCAUGGCAUGGAGGAGCCGCAAUGUGCUUAGACUCUGUGAUGCCAGCAGUGCCAUGGGGUAUGCCAUUGUUCAUUGUCCUGGACUGGCAUCUGUGGAGUCCCUUGGGAUUAAUUUCUGAAGAUGGAAUUAUGUGUACUUAAAUGUUGCUAAUUAUUACCAAACUGUGACCCAAAAAAGUGUCACCAAUCAGCCCUCCCAGAAAUGGCACGGGGAAGUGUCUGCUUUGGUUCAUCAUGUUUCUGAGCUCCCAGCUCUCUGGCCCCCUCUGCAGAGAUCGACCACUGAGGCUGUUUAUUGAGUUUAUUGAGUGUCCUUCUAGACUUUUUAUGUAUGCCACACUCAUAGGCAUGCUUACUGUGUCUCUCCUAAUUCUCCUCAAUGGUUGUGACAGUUUCUCCAAACUGGGGCCCAGGAUGGGUGGGAUCACCUGUGUGGUGCGGAGCUUGGAGCCAUGGCUGCAGGGAGCUCAGGAAACCAGAGACUGGUCCCCUCUGACCUGCCCGGUGGGACCCCUGCUUUCCUAUGGGAACACAGCAGCAGCAUCAGUGAGCAAACUGAAAAGAAAAGACUUUUCCUUUGUGCAGCCAUUAGCAGAGGAAAACAAAUGCCAAAUGUAGGUGUGUUUUGGCGUUGGUAGGGGGAUAAAAGAAAUGCAUGUAUGCACCGGCUGGUGAAAUGGGAUUUACAAACACAGUCACGACUUAGUGACAGGAAUACAUUAGGAAAAACCCGUCGUUAGGUGAUUUUGUUGUUGUGCAAACAUCGUAGCAUGUACUUACACACACCUAGAUGGUGCAGCCUGCCACACACCUAGGCUCUAUGGGAGAGUCUGUUGCUCCCAGGCUGUAAACUCACGCAGCAGAUGACUGUGCCGAAUGCUGGAGGCAAUUGCAACACAAUGGUGAGUAUUUGUGUAUCGCAACAUAGAAAGGUGUAGUAAAAAUACUGUACAAAAGACAAAACGUGAUGGCUUCCAGCUUCAUCCAUGUCCCUGCAAAGGACAUGAUCUUGUUCUUUUUUAUGGCCGCAUAGUAUUCCAUGGUGUAUAUGUGCCACAUUUACUUUAUCCAGUCUAUCACUGAUGGGCAUUUGGGUUGGUUCCAGUCUUUGCUAUUGUAAAUAGUGCUGCAAGAAACAUAUGUGUGCACAUGUAUACCUAUGUAACAAACCUGCAUGUUCUGCACAUGUAUCCCAGAACUUAAAAUAAAAAAAAAAAAAGAAGAGAAAAUGGUUCACCUGUACAGGGCACUUACUAUGAACGGAGCUUGCAGGACUGGAAGUUGCUCUGGGUGAGUCAGGGAGUGAGUGGUGAGUGAAUGUGAAGGCCUAGGACAUUACUAUACACUACUCUAGACUUUAUAGACACCAGACACUUAGGCUACAUGAAAUUUAUUAAAAAUGUUUUCCUCUUCAAUAAUAUACUUAACUAAGUGUACAUUUUUAACUUUAUAAGCUUUGAAAUUCUUUGUAACUUGACUCUUUUGGAAAAACACUUAGCUUAAAACAAACCCAUUGUAUAGCUGUACAAAAAUAUUUGCUUUCUUUACAUCCUUAUUCUAUAAGCUUUUAAGUUUUUUAUUUUUUUACUUUUUAAACUUUUUUGUUAAAAACUAAGACACAAACACAAGCUAACCUACAUUACAAACCUAUCAUCUAGGCUAACCUACAUGAGCCUAGGCCUACACAGAGUCAGGAUCGUCAAUAUUACUGUCUCCCACCUCCACAUCUUGCCCCACUGGGAUGUCUUCAGGGGCAGUGACACGCAUGGAGCUGUCAUCUCCCAUGACAACAGUGCCUCUGAAUACCUCCUGAAGGACCUAUCCGAGGCUGUUUUACAGUUACCUUUUAAAAAAAAAAAAUAGGAGUACACCAUAGAUAGGAGGAUACCCUAAAAUAAUGAUAAAAGUAUAGUAAAUGCUUAAACCAGUAAUAUAUGCAUUUAUUAUUAUUAUCAGGUGUGAUGUACUGUAGAUAAUCGGUAUGUGCUACACUUUUCUACGACUGGCAGUGCAGCAGGUUUGUUGACACCAGCCUCCCCACAAAUGUGAGCGACGCGUUGUGCCGUGUUCCUAUGACUACAGCAUCACUAACGCGGUGUGCCGUGUUCCUAUGGCGACAACAUCACUGGGCAGUGGGAGGUUUUCAGCUCCGUAGUAACCUUAUGGAGCCAGCGUCAUAUACUUGGUGCCUACUGACCGCAAUGUCGUUAUUUGGUGCAUGCCUAUACUUUGUCAUCACAAGUGGCUGCUGAAACUUCUCUCCCUUACACAAACACACGUGUGCACACACAGAAGCACAUGCACACGUAUAUCUGGGGAGCCUUUAUCUGUGCUUCCUUGGGUACCGUGGUGAAAAAGCUUUAAUCUAGAGACUCUGGAUCGAAGCAUGGGAAAACAGAAAAAAAGAUGUGUUUGCAGAAGUGCCUGUACUGCUGUCCUGCAGGAGCAUGUUAGUCUCCUACCGUGAAUUUUAGAACUUCAGUCUCUUUGGCAACUGUGUUUCUGGAGCUCUCCCUGCUUGCUGGAACUGCUUGUGUACAAAGCCACGCAGUUGUGGAGGAGGGACCCUCAACCGCUUUAGCAGCGGAAACCCCUUUUUCCCUUACCAUGUCAGGAACCAAGUGAAAUAAUAGAAGCCUGGAAAAGAAGAUGGCUUGCAUUUGAGGUGUGGUAGGCAGAAUAAUGGCCCUCCAAAGAGGUCCACCUCCUAAUCCCCUGGACCUUUGGAUUCGUUAGGUUAUGUGGUGCAGGAGAAUCAGAUGAAAUUAAGGUUGCUAAUCAGCUGACUUUAAAAGAGGGAGAUGCCCCUGGAUUAUCUGGGUAGCCCCAUGUAAUCACAGGGGUCCUUAGAAGUGGGAGAGGAAGGUGGAAGAGGAGAGUCAGGGGGAGCCUGGGCACAGAGGCAUGGUCAGAGAAACACAAGGCUAUUGGCUUAAGAGGACCAAGGAAUGUGGGUGGCCUCUAGAAGCUGGAAAGGCAAUGGAGCAGAAGUCGCACCCCCACCCCGCCUCGGCCAACCCCUUGCCUCCAGGAGAAACCAACCCUGCUGACACCUUGAGGUUAGCCCAGUGAGACCGGCUUUGGAACUCCUAACCUACAGAAUCCCAAGAUGAUAAACUAGUGUUGUUUUAAGCUGCUAAGAUUGUGAUGACUUGUUACAACAGCAACAGGAAACGAACACAACAGGUUGCCUGAAAGAGUCUCUUUCGACUCCAAGGCCAUUCACUUUCCACCAGCCAGGGGUAUCUUGGUUUCAGGAAGAAGAUAAGAUGUCAUUAGAUGGUAGCCUGGAGCUCACACAGGGCAGCUGCAUCUAUCUGGGCAGAGAGGAUGCUUUCUGGAAUGGCUUUCUGUUGGUGAUGCCUUCCAGGAUGGCCAUGGGGCAGACAGGAAAGAAGGGAGAGCCUUAGGUCCAGGGCAUUGGGGUCCCUGCGCUCACAGGAGCUGGUGCUGAGGGUGGGGCAUGUAGGCACCAAGGGCAACCUGUUCCAUGAACAGCCCAGCAAGAAGCUGCAGCACCCAGGAGGCCCCAGAGGUACCUGGGGUGAGGGCCUGCCUGGGUGUCAUGGCUGCACACAGUGGCUCAGUGCCAGCAGAGAACCGCCAGGGGAGAGGGGUCUCCUGCGGAGGAACUUGGUGCCUCGUGUGCCUUCCUAGUAGAUGUCACACAAUAGGGACCCUGGGAAUGUCCUAGGGAAUGACACAGACUCCUAGCUCCACUUGGCCAGUUUCUGCAUUUAGAAGGGUGAGCUCUGGGAGGACCUGCUUUGAAGGAUGCAGUGAUGUCAUGUAGACUGAGUUUGUGAACUUUCAGGGGUGAAGGAUUGGAAAGCUGCCUUUCUUUGGCUAUUUCAUAAGUAUACCAAGAUAGUAGAAUUCCUACAGCUAAAGAGCAGUGAUGUAUUACUUUUCAGUAAGCUUUGCAGACCUGGGUGUAGAAAGCAUUGCUGCAUCCUCACCUCUUCUCUGAGUGUCCCCUUCACACAAGUCGGCCAUCCUCUGAGUUCUCAAAGGGAGGCUGUUCCCUCUCUUGCCACUGAGGCGUGCCCUCCCUGCUCCCCUCCCUGUGGCCUUGUCCACGUGCUCUCCUUCACCCUCUGCCAAACACAAAGCCCGUCUAAGCCCAUGUCCCAUAGCUCUUAUCCCUGACCUACAGGACCACUCCCUCAUUCCCUGAGGCUCCGGACCCUGGUCAUGGUGUUCCUUUCAUUUUCCUUCCUGGCACCAUUUUUAGGUCAUUGGUCUCCUUGAGGAUAAUCUGCUGAAUGCCUGGUCUCUGUUGUGGGACCGCCUCACAGCUCUAACCACCUUCCUGGCACGCUGUGGCCUCCUUCUCCUGUGGCUGGACCCCCAACCUGUCUCUCCCCAGCCUCUGCCUCCUUCUCCCAUGGCUGGACCCCAGCCUGUCUCUCCCCAGCCUCUGCCUCCUUCUUCAGUGUUUGAACCUCAGCCUGUCUCCCUCCAGCCUCUGCCUCCUUCUCCCGAGGCUGGACCCCCAGCCUGUCUCCCUCCAGCCUCUGCUUCCUUCUUCUAUGUCUGGACCCUCAGCCUGUCCCCCUCCAGCCUCUGCCUCCCUCUCCCGAGGCUGAACCUCAGCCUGUCUCCCCAGUCUCUGCCUCCUUCUCCCAUGUCUGGACCUCAGCCUGUCUCCCUCCGGCCUCUGCCUCCUUCUCCCAUGUCCAGACCCUCAGCCUGUCCCCCUCCAGCCUCUGCUUCCUUCUUCUGAGGCUGAACCUCAGCCUGUCUUCCCCCAGCCUCUGCCUCCCUCUCUGACUGCCUCUGCCUGCCCUGCCUCCUGGGUGAGCCCCCACUGUGGUGCUUUCUGGCCCCCAUUCAUUCUUCUUACCUCAUUUCUGCUCCCUAGCUUUCCCUUCACCCUUAGUUCCUUUCUUACCCAGGUAAGAUUCUGUGGCUAAUGAUGUCAUUCCUUCUUUUGAGCAUCCUCAAUUCCCUUGCCCUCUUCCCUCUCUUUUAUAAUUCACUUGGAAACAUCCCAGCUCUGAUUAAACACAUUUAUCUACCCUGAGGGUCUGAACAUCGCAGGAGACAGUUACACAGCUGGCUGAGGCUCACUUACGAUUCAUGAUUGCAAACCUCGGAAGGGUCUUAGUGCGGCCUGGAAACCCGGCCGAGUGGUCCUGGCCACUUUGGUGCCCCCGACCCCCCUGCCCCAUGUCCCUGAGGACCUUUUCAGGGGCCUGAGGCAGCAGGGAGUCUCCCUUCCUGGUGAAGCCUCUUGAGCCCGGGGAACCCUGGGCACCACCCGGGAAUGGGAGCCGCCUGAUGCUCAGGCCCUCCCCAGCCUGUUCUGACUUACUUGGCCUAGAGUGGGGCCCAGGCAGAAUUCGAUUUUACUGUUUAAUUUCCUCAUUUCCUUGAAGUAGAAGAGUGGAUCCGUUUCCUGCAGCUGCUUUUACAAAUGACCACAGACAUGGUCGCUUAAAAUAACAGAAAUUUAUUCUCUCAAACUCCUGAACUGAAGUGAUCUGCCCGCCUUGGCCUCCCAAAGUGCUAGGAUUACAGGCAUGAGCCACCCGUGCCCAGCCUUAGAAAUGUAUCCUGAUAGUUCUGGAAACCAGAAGUCUGAAUUCAGCGGGGCUGUGCUCACUCCGAAGGCCCCAAGGAAGGAUCGUUCCUGCCUCUUCCAGCUCUGGGUGCUCCGGGAGCUCCUUGGCUUGUGGCCACAUCCCUUGAAGCUCUGCCUCCAUCUUUACAUGGUCUUCUCUGUGUCGCUGUGUGGCCUUUUCUCUCUCUUACAAGGAGGCUCUCAUUUUAGGUUUCCAGCCCACGUGGGUAAUCCGGGAUAAAUUCCUCCUUUGAAGAUCCUCACCAUAAUCACAUCUUCUGCCUUAUCAGGUAGGGUUGAUUCUCAUCGUAAAAGAUUCUGGGAACUAGGUUGUGGACCUAUGUUUUAGGGGGUCCCCAUUCGGCCCACUACAAACAGAUAGAAGGGAAAUGAACAGAUUCUAAGUACACAGCUCAGUGAAUCAUCACAAAUGAAACACAUCCAGGCAAACAGGAUACAGAGGAAGGAAUAGCACCUCUCCCACAUCCUGCAAGCCCCUCGUGCCUCCUACUUGUCCUUAACCCGCAUUCCAACAGGACCCACCUCCCACGUCUGAACAGCACAAUUUUGAACCACACGUACACCGAGCCACACUGUGUGCGCUUUUGUGCCUGCUUUUUUUGCUCACCAUUAUAUGUGAGAUAAAUCCCUUUUGUUGUGUCUAGUUGAAGCUUGUUCAUCUUCAUUGUUGCAGUAUAGCUUUGACUGUGUGAACACACCACAAUUAGGGAUCCAUUCUACUGUAGGCGGGCAUUGGGUUGUUUCUAGAUUUUGGCAACUAUGAAUCUCGCUGUUGUGAUGAUGUGUGGAUUUGUCUUUGGAGGCACACACAUACUCGUUGCUGUCGUGUGAAUGCCUAGGAGCAGGGUUUCUGGGCCAUAGGGACAUGCGUUCUCAGCAUCAGUAGAUCCUGCAAACCCUGUUCUGGAAUGGAUGAGUGAACGCUUUCUCAAUAGAGAUGAGAGCUUAUGUUGCACUCCCUUCCAUGCUGGGUACUGCCUUUGUCACAUCAGUAGUUCUCACGUGUGCAGGGUGUUGCAUUACCCUGUGGGAGAUAUCAACCAUUUUUUCAUCUGUUUACUAGCCACGCGGCUAUCCUCUUCUGCAUAGUACCUGUCCAAGUCAUUUGCCCAUUUCUUUGAAUUGUCUGGAUUUAUUGGAUUUUUCUUGUUGAUUUGCCCAAGUCCUUUGCCAAAUGCGUGUCUUAUGAAUGUCUUUUCUGUGGUCUGAAUUUCCCUCUCAGUGGUGUCUUUUGAUGAAUAAUAGUUCUUAUUUUAAUGUGGCUCAAUGUACCUUUUUUUUUCCUUUUGUGGUUUUAGUGCUUUUUUUUCUUUUCCAAUAUUUUCUUGAAGUUUUAUUAUUUCACCUUUCUUGGUGAGACUUACAAUCUAUAUGGAAUUAAAUUUGUAAAUGUGAGGUCAGAAUGGGGGAUAUGUGUCUAUUGCCCCUGAUAUUUAGAUACACAUGUGGGACCUCCCGCUGCCUUUUCUCUGUCUCUUGUUGUCUUCGUUUUGAGGACUCUCCUUUUCCUGAGUGUCCCAGGGCUGAUUUUGUGUGGGUGGCAGUGGGAGGGCAGGAGGAGGAAGAGGGACUGCUGGGUCCUGUGUCUUUAUUCCCAGCUCCCUCCCGCCCGGCGAACUCUGGUCUGGUGGGCAGCAGACUGGCUCCCUCACUUCCCUUACUUCUCUUCCAGGAAGCCCAUCCUGGUCUCCAUUCCCCAAAGCUGCUCUCCUGCUUGACUUCAGCCACACCCUCCUGCCACCCUCUUCCUCUGCCCGCUAGCCCUUUGGCUCUCCAGGGAGUGCGGCUCGUGGCUUGUCUCCCCAUUGAUCCUCCUUCACCUCCUGCCUGUGUCUCCUGUGCCUGACGACGAGCUCACCUUCCUGCCUCACUGUGAGUGCCUGCCCUGCCAGCCCUGCUGAUGCCAUGAGUUUCCUCUGCCCUCCACUGUGCCGCACGGCGCAGCCCAUCAUAGCACUUUGCUUGCCUGGAGGUCUGCGAGCCUUCUCAGGGGAAGGAGGGGGCUUUUCCCCCUUGGCCUCACUGUAUUCAUUGAAUUGCAUGAAAUUGGAUUACUCUCCAGCAUUGCCUGAGUCCAGUGUUGAGAGAAAGGUAGGUGAACUCCAUCCAUGAGUACAAGGGAAACUCUUUGGAAAUGUGUUUGUAAGCUACUCUGUCUGGUAUUUUCAUUGGUAUUUGGUCCAACGCUUGCCAUAAGCUUCUGUGUUCCCUGCCACUUUACUGAGAGGAAUGCAAUCCCUCCCAAAGUCCCCGACACUGGGCACCCCAGAAGUGUCAUUCCCAAUGUGAGUAAUGAGCACUUCCAACCCGCAAGAGAAAUAUUGCCCUCAAGAUGAAGGGGGAGCCAGGUGUCUGUGGCUAAAGAGACCCCUCCCUGCCCACAGUACCAUUUCCAUGGCUUUGGAGGAAAGCAUGGGACCACGGCUUGCUCAUAGGCUGGUGAAGAUGCUGGGGGCAUGGGUCCUUUUGACCCCUUGGUCCCUGACAAUCAGGAGAUCUUGACUCCAUUUGACACCUGUCCCAGAGGAGGCAGUGCCCUGUCUCCUCUUGUCCCUCUCUAGGUGCCGCUGGUGGGUACGGCAGGCCCCGUGGGUGAUGCCAUCCUGCUCGCCAUAGAAGGAGUGGACAAGAGCUAUGCUGCAGCCGUGCUGAGGGUGUGCCGGCUCUGUUGCUGUGGGGUGACCAUUCAGGUCCUGCAGAGAAGCGAGGGGCUGUGCCCAGAGACUCCAUGAUACCCUUUGUCCUCAGGAACUCCCUGAAAUGUGAUGGCUCAGGCCGGAAAUUCUUCCCCCAAAGGAGCCGAAGUGAUCACCGGCCGGUAUAUGAGCACGGUGCAUCAGUGUGUUCGCUGGGCCUGGGUGUCCCUGAUGAGAGACCUCCCUGCUGUUGACCCAGUGACACCCCAACAUUGAUCCUGUAAAACGAAGCCCAGGCAGAACAGCAGCAAGGACAGCAGCAGCAGCAAAGAGCUUCCUUUGCCUCUUUGUCAGACAUGUCCUCCGAGUCUGACUCCUCUCCUUCCCUCCCUCCCUCCCACCAGUUGCUGAUAUUAUUUUAGGGUUCUAGCCAUGAAAGGAGAAUAAUUUGUAAACAAGCAAAUCCCAUGCCUGAAGAAUCAUGUUUUGACAGUACAAUCAAUGCUUUUUGGAGUGAGGGGUUAUAUAUUAAAUGGUUAGGAUUAUUUUGAGACAAAAAUGAAGGUUAAUGGAAUGAAGCUUAGUAUUAACUAGCUUGCAGAUGUCUUUUUAACCUAUGAAGUGGUCGUCUGCUUUUACUAGUAGGACAGCUUGACCAGUGUAAUGAUUUUCAAGCUACAGAGACAGGCAAUAUGCCAUACAUAAUUGCAUAAUAUGUAAGAAAAAUAUCCAUUUUCCUCGCACUUCAUAAGACAAGUGUGUGCAGGUACCAGAUUAAUGAUGUCAGUCUGGCUAGUUCUGCUUGACAUUUUUUUCUUAAAAUUUUAACAUAUAGAUUUUAUACUUCUCGACUCUUAUAACCUUGUAUGCAGUAAUGACUAGUCAAUUAAAUGAUACCCCCAAAUAUUAAUAUAAAUGCUAGGCAAGAUACAAGAAUUCCCCAGCGGGUCCAUUUUGCUGCCUCUGGUUUAGAAAAUCAACUUUGCAGCUGGUGCGUUGGUGGCACCACUGUGAUAUACUCAGGUUUGUGUGGAUGCUUCCUGCCUCGCCUUCCUGCCGCAGGUGCGGGAAGUGUGUGGUGUUGAGGUCAAAGGACCGGGCAGGUCCAUGUGACUGCUCAGGUGAGGCUGGACCGUCUAACAUAGGGGCUUUGGGAUCACGUCCACGCCUCCCUUCAUGGGUGAGGGACGAUACUGUGGUUUCUCACAAGGACGCGCCCAUCUGGAGGUAAAAGUGAGGCACUGAAGGUGGAAUUUGCUCCUGGAUGAGGGCCCGGUUUGCUGGCCCCUCCCGGCGGCUGCCCCCACCCACCUGUUUUCCAGCUUGGCAGUGCUGAGCAGGGUGUCUCUGGGCAAACCCCGUCUGUGCCUGCGGAAGCCAGAGGGAGCCGCCUGUGCUCGGCGCCAACCAUGGAAGCGGCUUUCAGAGUCCUCGGAGGACCCUCUCCGGGGACCACAGGGCGACGGCCGCUCCCAGCGCAAGGGCGUUUAUGAACUGCUUGAUAAAAAGGUCAGAGCGAUGUAAGCUAAAACGGAAGGCCCUGCUGCGGCUGAAGACCCUUCUGAGGGGGGGAUAAGCCCGCUGUGAAAUUAGAAUGUCAGUCAGCGGGAAAAUGGGAUUCAGAAUGCUUUAAAGCUGAAAAGCUCCUUAGAGACUUUGCAUCAGAAGCCCUCAUUUUCUAGUUGAGAAGACUGGAGCCCGGUGAGAUGGAACAGGCCUUGCAGGGCAGGACUGGGGCUGGACUCUCACACGCCUGGGUCCUGACUCUCGGGUCUUCCCACAACAUCGGUCUGCAUCAGGAGGCAGAGACUGGUUAGAUGUUCAGCUUUCUGCUCUGGGUACGCCUUUUGGGAACCUGUCCCCUGGGAAAGAAGCAAACAGAUUACCCCAGUUAGGAGUGGAUCGAGCCUCCUGAAGCUGAGGACCGGGAACCCCUGCCCCCAUAGCAUGCUUCUGAGGUUCAGAUGGGGGCAGCGGGAGAUUUGGAGGAACAUAAGGGAGAAGCGGCAGCAACUAAAACCUUGGCAGGCAGCGGAGGCCUCUCUGCCUGGAGCCCGUUGCAGCAGGAAGCCCCAAAGCCACACGGAACAGUACCUUCUGCCCUCGGCCCCUUCCAGGGAAUCGAACCAGCUUCCGCACCAACCUGGCCCUUGGCUGAAGCCCUGCUCUGCCCUGCCUCCUGCAGCCCCCGCCAAGCACCAGGCCUCUUACGGGUGGUAUUGGGUCCCCAACAAAGACAUGUCGAAGCCCUAACCCGUGAUACCUGUGAAUGUGGCCUUAUUUAGAAAUGGGAUCUUUGCAGAUGUCGUCAAGUUAAGAUGAGGUUAUACUGGUUUAAGGUGGGCCCUAAGCCCCUGAAUGCUACCCUUACAAGAGGAGAAGAGACCCAGAGACAGCACAGAUGGAGGGAGACGAUGUGAACACACACAGCGAGAAGGCCACGGAUGGCAGAGGCAGAGAUCCGAGGGAUGCGUCCACAGCCAAAGGGCUUCAGGGCUCCCAGCACCCCUGGGAGCUGGGAGAGAGACCUGGAGCAGAUUCUGGAUUCUCCCUCAGAGCCUCCAGCCCUAGCAUGGCCCUGUUGAUGCUUGGAUUUUGGAUCUGAGUGGUCCAGAAUUGCGGGAGAAUACAUUUCUGUUGUUUUAAGCUGCCUGGCUUGGGGUAGUCUAUACCGCAGCUGAGGACAUGUACACAAUGGCCUUUAGAGUCCGCUCUGAGGCACCCCUGGAGACUGCUCCUGCUGUCCAGGACUUGAUCGCAGCAACCACCUGACCCGCCCUCAUCCCUCCCUCACCUCAUUCCCACUCGCGUCCAAAUCUACCCUCCUCACCCUGCUGCAAUGGCCUUGCGCAAACACACCUCUGAUCAUGGCCCCUGUGCUCAGCGAUGCUUGGAGGCCAGCAUGGCAGCCCAAUCACAAUUGCCCAGCGUGGCUAUGUGCCCUCCAUGGGCCCACCGCAUUCCCUGGGCCUCCCCAGGCCCUCACGUCGCCAUGCCCACCCUUCGUUCUGCAGGGGCCACUGUGGGGUCAGGUCUCAGCAUCCCCCCCGGCCUCUGUUUCUAUUAUCAGGAAGCCGCUUGUUCCCUGUCUUGCUUGCAAAUACCUGCCCGUGUUUUCACAUUCGAGCCGGUCCUCUGCCUCCCAGGUUCAAGCAAUUCUCCUGCCUCAGCCUCCCAAGUAGCUGGGACUACAGGUCGGGCCUGGUUAGUAGUCGGAUGGGAGACCGUUUAUUCAUUUUACAAGCAAUCGUAAUAAAGACACACGGGGAUGUGCAGUGACCUGGUUCUGCCCCGCAGAACUGCUCAGCAUGUUUGGGAGGAAAGAUGCAUUCAGAAACCUCUCUUCAACUUCUCCUUGGCCACUGUGUGAGUGUCUUGAUGUCACUCCAAAUCAGCAUGGGAAGGCCAGCAAUGGGGUCCAGGUGGGGAAACUGUGCUUGUGCUGGACACUGGAGGAUGCGGAGGCUGGAGCUGCCGCUGCAGAGAGGACUGGCACUGAGCAAGCCCCGGCAGGUGGGCAGAUGGGGGCAGGCGGGUUGGUGGGUCUCCUUGAGAUGCCACAUUUGCAAGCUUGAGAAGUUGAACUUGAAAUCCAUCCUUGGAAAAUCAUUUUGCAAGCAGGUACUAAAGAAAUAAUUGCCCUUCCCUUGGGGGGCCCUGAGGAAUGAGGAGAGGGAACCUGGAGGAGGGAUUUUGCAGAAAACUUUAGCUCAUUCGGUUGUAUAAAAUCCAAUGGAAAUGGAGGGGAAGAGGAGAUGUUCGUUCUUACAAUUGCUUUUUCAAAAAGCUCUUUUACAUCGUUUAUGUCAUUUCAGAGAUGUACGCGCCCAAGCCUGCUCCAUCGCUAUUGAACAUGGAGUGGGUGGAGUGAAGGGCACAGAGGUAAAACAUGUCUUUGAGAUGUUUGGACUGGGACCCAAGGACAAUGAUGGUGUCACUGACUGGUGGGGACAUUGGUGGGAGAAACGAUGAGGCGUGAAUCUGGACACCAGCCACAAUCAAGCCCUGCUCUUCUUGAGUUCAACUGGGAAAAAUGCAGUAGACAACGUGGUAGUGUAAAGGAAGUUUCCAGGGGCUUCCUGUAGGGAUUUGGUGGUAGAAGAUCAGAAGGUUUGUCUGAUUUAUCUAAACCAAAUUUUAUAAGGCAAAGAUAAAGCCUAUAGAAAGAAGCAGUUUAAUUUCACAGUUGGGAAACUGAAGUUAUUGUAAGUUUUGGGUUCAAUUAGAUUGGAAAGUUUACUAUACAGCGUAUCUUUCCCUUUCCUCCUCCCUCCCUCCCUCCCUCCCUCCUUCCUUUCCUCCUUCCUUCCCUCUUCUCACCCUUCCUUUCUUCCAUCAAUCGAUCCAUCCAUCCAUCCAUCCACCCACCCAUCCACUUUUGUACUUACUGGAAAAUGAGCCUAUACAUUUAGAGUGUUUACAUGUAUCUCCCAUAGUUUCUGAAGUGAAAAAAAAAAGACUCAGGGGAAGCAGCAUGUUGCCUGGCAGAACUGGCGGCUUCUGUUCAGAAGGCAGAAGGGCAAAGUAACUGAGGUUCCUGGGUGGUGUUUUUCUUCUCUGUGUGCAGCCAGCCCUCUUUAUUAUUCAUCUCUAGGGGCUUCACAUAGCUGGGGCAGCCCCAUCCUUCAGAAGUGUUAUCUUGGCUAUAACUGGUCCAUUUAACAUACAUGCCAAGCACCCAUAGGGCUACAAAGAGCCAUGGUCCUGCUUGUGGAUUUGCAGAUUGAGUAACUGGUCAAAAAAGAAAGCAUGAGAGAUAUUCCAAGAUGCCUGCAAGGCCAGCCAGCCCUGGCUGAUCCCCUCCUGUGUACCCACAGAUUCACCGUCAUGACCUGUGUCUUGCGCCACUUUUGGAGCGUGGGAUUUGGGACUCCUCCCCAGUACAGGCCAUCAUCUGGAGUUCUGUCGUGUUUCCAUAUUUCACAUGGAGUGAUGAAUAUGCUGGAGAUGUGGGCUCUAUGGAGAGUGCUGGGCUUCUUCCAGUUGCCACAUCUGUUGUCCCCAGGAACCAGUGUCCUCUGCAGCUUGACAAAACCUCUUUUCCCUGGUUCUCCACACCUUAGCCCAUCACCCUUCCUAAAAUCUUUUCCUUGGAGCAUCCAUCUUCCAUAUAGCUCUAUCUUGCCACCUCCUGAAACCACAUCUGCUCUCCCUUCUCCAACAGGCUAGUGGGUUUCCUCCCGGAGGUCCACACAAGACCUUGGCUCAGCAGAGUGGAGGUGCCUCCCUCCUCCUCUGUUCUCUGCUGCUCUUCCCCCGUUCCUGGUGGAAGGUCAUCUGUGUCUGCCACCUCACUCCUUGGGUACCAGGUCAGUCAUGAUGGCCUGUUAAUUUUUCCCUUGUCACAUCUUUCUUAUUUGUGAUUUUAUGAUAUUCCCAGGCCCCAGUGCUAGGUCAGGGCUGACUGAUGCCACUCCUGGGAACGUGUGGCUGCUUAUCCCCCUGGCUUCCCUCUAUUCUGCAGAUAAGUGACAGGUAGUGGAGGCAGUGGUGAAUGGGCACACCCUACUCAAAGCUCAGAAUGACUGCCAUUUCCACCCCUCCAAGACCUGAGGAUGGUCAUUCACAAUCACAUGGGCACUUUCCACACUGGUGGCACCUUGGAAAUGAUUUGCAGAUAGCAGCUCAUUGAGUCCUCAAAAUAACCUAACAAAGAAAAUAUUUUACAGAUGGGAAACUGAGACCUAGAGAGGUGAAGUGACUGAGUCACCCAGCUUGCAAGUGCUGUAGCCCAGGUUUGAAACUGGGCAGCAUGUCACUCUCGGAUAGCUGCCCAUGCUCUACUCCUCUCCCUUCAGCCGAAACCCUCCAGGGCCCUCCCAACAAAGCCGUCUCUGCAUCAUGUCCCUCCUCCUGUCUCCCUCCUUCAUCCAUCCUGCCUUUCUCUAGUCAUCCCGCCUUGCUUUAUCUUAUGAGUUUCCUUCUCCUAAGAAUAUGUGUGGAGCAGACUGUGAGCUUCUGAAGGCAGGCCACUUGCCUGUGCUUAUUACUUAGGACUUUUGUUUACAAUUCCUCAUCACUCCAAUCAUGCUGCCUCAUACAUAUGAUAAUAGCUCAAUAUGUGUGGAAUGCAGAUUAUCAACUUGCUUCAUACUGACCAUGCAAAGGAGAGGUGAGGCUAUAGUGCAUAUGCAAAACCAAGUGAAAACUAAGGCAAUUAUGUCGAUAAUUCACGAAGAAAAUAACACUUUUUGGGGGGCUUAAUUAUCUGGAUUUAUCCAGUGGGCGUUUUUGAAAAAGCAGUUAUCCAGACAACAGCCGGAGGGUUCCCUUUCACGUUGAGUGGGUCACAGGGCACCUGAGUCAGGAGCUUUGUGUUCUGGGGUUGGCGCAGAAGCCCAGUCAUUGUUGGAUUCUGGGAAAACUGAGUGGCUUCCCUGUGCUGUAGUUUUUCUUUCUGUUACUGAGUGAGGCCAAGAUCUUCACAGAGCUGGUUCAUGUUGCGUAAUCAACCUCCUGUUUUUUGUCUUGUCUCACUUGCUAAUUCUCUUAAUUCCAACUUUUAGCAUUCAUUUUAUGCUGAGUUUUUCUCUAAUUGAUUCUUUGGAGCUUUUUGUUUCCGACGAGGUUGCAAACUGUGGUGCCAACAUCCAUCCCCUGCUCUCUUGGUGGACCUGCCCACCUCCUGGAACCCAGAAGUGGACCGUACAGGGCCCGAACCCACAAAGUACUGAUGGCUAGGAGUGGUGACGUCACCACAGACCCCGUGCCCCAGUGCAGUGACUCUCCCCUGGCUGCUGGCUUCUGCUGCCUGCAAACUCCCAAGGUGACGGCCCCUGGGUGUGGCUCCAGCAUCCGUAUUUCACUGAGAGAGCCCCUGAUGACUGUGGUGGGGCUGACAGCCAUGGCAGGGCUUCCAAAGACAACUGUGUCAUGAGCUCUGGACAUCACGUCACCACUCAAAAAGGUUCUGAUUUGAGAACAUUUUGGAUUUCAAAUUUUUGGAUUAGGGAUGCUCAACCUGUAUUGACUUCAAGUGUUAAGGCACCAAAUAGAAGAUCCAUUUUUUGAAUCAACCUUAAAUGGGAUUUCUUUUUUAAGCAGCGAUUCACAAAACUGCCUCAAUCUAUGAGAGACUGUAAAGCUAAAAGAAAACUGCAGAGCCUCAGGGCUAGGCGGCCUGGCAGGCACACACUGACAGUGCGCUAUCCUGAAUGUGACCUGGUCUUGGAGAUUCCAUCAGAAUAAAUAGAGCCACGGCCCCAUGCCAGUCUGAGCACUCCACUUAAUUAUUCAGGGGAAACUCGGAUAUACUCAGGCCUUGAAAUGAGGCAGAAGCUUGCAAGGUUUCAGACUGUGUUCAAACUUCCCCUGCCAGCCAGCCGUGUUGGAAGCAUCAAGCAUCGAAGCCUCGUGAAUCAGCAUUUGGAGAGGGAGAUCAGCCGGGCUAAAUUUGGAGAUUUUUGACUCAGCCAUCAGUGAAAUUCAGCAGUUCCUCCUGAAGCUUUUGGUGACCUUUUGGUUUCAUCCAAGCUCAAAUACCAAAGGCACCGUGGAAGUGAAUAGAAUUGUAAACCCUUGCGUGAAGAUCGUGCAGCUGGCGUUCUGAGAUGAGUUCAUCCACCACAGGACUAAACACAUCUCUGUGCCUCUAGCUUUUCCUUUCCUGUGAAGGAAUGGAAAUGGGGCGGCGGGGAGGGGCAAGAGGUGGAGGCAAACAAAGAGGAGGUGGCAAGGAGAUGCCCCUCGCCAUGCCUGGCGCAGAACGCAGGAGGCACCCGUCUGGACCUCACCAGCGCCGGUGCCCAGUAGCUGUCUCCCACCAGCUCUCCACGGAGCUCAGAAGGCCUCAAGUCAAUGCAUCCUCCAACACAUCCUCGUGUAUUGCCAACUGAGCCUUUGAGCGAGUGUUCAGUUGACACUAAGUGCUUUUUGCUCUCAGCACAAUUAUGUACUUCUGAAUUACACUCGAAGCAUCCUUUGAAUGUGAAAACAGGUUAGAUCAAAACGUCAAAGUGCACCUCUGUCCCUAAUGAUCCUUUUUAAUGCAUCUGUGGUUUCUAACAUUAAGAGAAAAUGUGAAUUUAGCUGUGUGCUUUUAUGUGUCUACUCUGUGACUUGUUUAUCCAGGCUAUACUUAUAAACAGAAACAAUAGAAGAACAUAAAAUAUGAAUACAGUAUCCGUAUUAAAGUAUAAUAAGCAUUCUGAAGUAUUUGUUAAGCUGUCAGGAGCUCUGCCGGACUGGAAGAUGUAAGCUGGGGCUGGGUUCUUCAUUGUUCUGUGGACUGAAAGCCUCGCUAAUGACGCCACUCUCUUCCAGCCCUAUUUCAAUAUGUUUUAGCUACAGUACUUUAGCGUCAAGAUCUUUUCCUCAAGCCUUUCUGGAAUGAAUCAUUUCUUCUAUUACUUAUUGGAGUUUUGUGAUUACAUUGAGGACAUGAGGACCAUCCAGGACAAGUGCCCUCUUUCAAGGCCUGCUGAUUCCAUCUGCAACCUCAGUGUCGCCUUGCCACGUUACCUAACAUAGGCACAGGUCUGGAGAUCAGGACUUGGAUGUUUUUGGUUUUUUUUUGGAAGUACUGUUCUGCCUUCCACACUCUCUGCAGCUUUUCUGGUGGAUGCUGCAUCAGAGGGCCUCGCUACCUUUCCAAGGCAACAUCGUUCUUGGAGCACCUGCUGAGGUGCUGUCUGCUGGGGACCGUAAGUGAGCAUCGAAAAAGCUGUAAGAAGUAUCCCUGCUGCUCUCCAGGGACUUACAGCAUGGACGGCACCUGCAUUGAGAGAAGACGGCAAUGGUGUCGUGAUGUGCCCUCUGGAGAUGGGUCAGUGGAUGAAGGAGUCCCCAUGCUGAUGGUGCAGCUGCCUCACCACAUAACUGAGCAGAGCCAAGGAAACAUUUUGUUUCAUGUCCUGAAGCCAGGAAGCAGGACCUCAGAUCAAAGCCGGAAGAGAGUCCAGCCAAAGGAGACAAAGAUGAGAAAAUUGAGGCACAGAGAGCUCAAGAAGCUUGCUCCCAAUCACAGAGCUGAUAAGUAGCAGAUCCAAGAUGCAAAUCCAGGUGAUCUGCCCCCAAGGCUCACACUCCCAGCUACUGCACACAGAACCUCAGAAGCCCAUGCUUCCGGCACAGCUGUGCUGCAAUGAGUUUGUAUGCUGGCUAUGAUGAAUAAUGCUGCUAAGAAUAAACAAACAAAUCUUUACAUGGACAUAUGUAUUUAUUUCUCUUGGGUAACUACCUGGGAGUGGAAUUGCUAAUGUCUUAUGGCUGUACAGGAAGCAUGGUGUGCUCAGCUUCUGGGGAGGCCUCGGGAAGCUCACAAUCAUGGUGGGAAGCAUAGGAAGAGCAGGCAUGUCACAUGGCCACAGCAGGAGCAAGAGAAAGAUGGGAGAGGUGCCACACUUUUAAACAACGAGAUCUUGUGAGGACACACUUACUAUUGCAAGGACAGCACUAAGAGCAUGAUCCUAACCCAUUCAUGGGAAAUCUGCCCCAUGAUCCAUCACCUCCCACGAGGCCCCACUGCCAACACUGGGGAUUACAAUUUGACAUGAGAUUUGGGUGACGACCCAGAUCCAAACCCUGUCACCUGUUCUCAGGUAUUCUGUUAUGGUAACACAAAUCAGAAGAAGAUAGUGGCUUUUGGAGCACGAAAGUUUUAAAUUAUGAUGAUGUUUAAUGUAGUUUGUGCUUCCUAUGCCUUAUUUUUAAAAUCCUUGCUUUUCCUGAGGUUGCAAAGUUUUUCUCUGUGUUUUCUUCUACAAGUUUUAUAGUUGUAGCUAUUAUUGUUAAGCUAUUAUCCUUUUUGAGUUAGUUUUUUUAAUGGUAUUGGUUUAGGUCCAGGUUUAUUUAUUUUUAGUAUAGAUGUCCAAGUGUUCUCUCACCAUUUGUUGAAAAAUGUAUCCACUUCCCAUAUGGAAUUACCUUGGCAUCUUGUUGAAAAUAAAUUUCACAUAUAUGCAUGUCCUGUUUCUGGACUUUUUCUUUGGUUCCAUUGUUGUAUAUGUUUAUAUGUAUGCGAAUGCUGUCCAGCUACUAUAAAUUUAUAGUCAGUCUUUUAAGUAGUGUGGACUAUCGAAGUUUGUUCUUUUUCAACAUUGUUUGGCUUUUCUAUGUUAUUUGUAUUUUCAUGUAAAUUUUUGAAUUAGCUUAUCAACUCUACAAAUAGUCCUGCUGGAUUUUGAUUGGAGUUAUAUUAAAUCUAUAGAUCAACUUAUAUAUAAUUGCCUACUUACUAUGUUGAGUCUUCUGAUUUGUGGACAUGGUAUAUGUCUCCAUUUAUUGGGGUUCUACUUACUUCUGUCAGCUAAUAUUCUGUAUUUUUUAGUGUACAGAUCUUGAACUUCUUUGACAAUUUUUUCUUUAUAUAUUUCAUAUUUUGAUGCAUUUGUAAAUGGUAUUAUAUUAUUUUAUUAAUUAUAUCUAUGUUUCAUUAUUAGUACACAAAAUUCAAUUAAUUUUUAUAUUACAGUAUCCUGCAGCCUUGUUUGGAAGAUUCAUUAAUAUUUUCCAAAUAAAAGACCAUUUUUUUUUC